ACGCGAUGUGAUCGAGGCGGAAAGAUGCUGUCAGGAUGGAAGGACUUUUGAAGGAUGGAAGGACUUCAUUGCUGACCCUGCGAUGUCUUCUUCGCUGUCGGUUGCCGGAUUGCCCCGAGGACCCGGCCAGAAAAUUGCAUUUAGCCCGACCUUAUAUAGACGCCCACUAACCGAAACAUUUUGUUAAGAACCGCUUCAGUAAUUCUAGUUGUAACUCCAAUAUUUGUCUGUAGUUUGAUUGGCAUUUAGUU